ACCUGGGUGGUGGAAUAGGUAGACACAAUGGACUUAAAAUCCAUCGUUUAUUAAAAAUAAACAUGCCGGUUCGAUUCCGGUCUCAGGUA
rnacentral:tRNA from 1 species